rnacentral:rRNA from 1 species
CCUACGGGCGGCAGCAGUGGGGAAUAUUGGACAAUGGGCGAAAGCCUGAUCCAGCCAUGCCGCGUGUGUGAAGAAGGCCUUCGGGUUGUAAAGCACUUUCAGUGGGGAAGAAAGCCUUGGGGCUAAUACCCUCGAGGAAGGACAUCACCCACAGAAGAAGCACCGGCUAACUCCGUGCCAGCAGCCGCGGUAAUACGGAGGGUGCGAGCGUUAAUCGGAAUUACUGGGCGUAAAGCGCGCGUAGGCGGUCUGAUAAGCCGGUUGUGAAAGCCCCGGGCUCAACCUGGGAACGGCAUCCGGAACUGUCAGGCUAGAGUGCAGGAGAGGAAGGUAGAAUUCCCGGUGUAGCGGUGAAAUGCGUAGAGAUCGGGAGGAAUACCAGUGGCGAGGGCGGCCUUCUGGACUGACACUGACGCUGAGGUGCGAAAGCGUGGGUAGCAAACAGGAUUAGAUACCCCGUAGUC